UACGUAGGGGGGCAAGCGUUUGUCCGGAUUUAUUGGGGCGUAAAAGAGCGUGUAGGCGGCUAUACAGGUCCGCUGUGAAAACUCGAGGCUCAACCUCGAGAUGUCGGCGGAAACCAUCUGGCUAGAGUCCGGAAGAGGAGAAUGGAAUUCCCGGUGUAGCGGUGAAAUGCGCAGAUAUCAGGAGGAACACCGGAUGGCGAAGGCAGGUCUCUGGGCCACUACUGACGCUGAGAAGCGAAAGCGUGGGGAGCGAACAGG
rnacentral:rRNA from 1 species